rnacentral:rRNA from 1 species
CGUGUAGGCGGUCAUGUAAGUCAGAUGUGAAAGCCUUCCGCUUAACGGGAGAAGUGCAUUUGAAACUGCAUGACUGGAGUACGGGAGAGGAGAGUGGAAUUCCCGGUGUAGAGGUGAAAUUCGUAGAUAUCGGGAGGAACACCAGUGGCGAAGGCGGCUCUCUGGCCUGAUACUGACGCUGAGACGCGAAAGCGUGGGGAGCAAACAGGAUUAGAUACCCUGGUAGUCCACGCCGUAAACGAUGGGCACUAGGUGUAGGAGGUAUUGACCCCUUCUGUGCCGAAGCUAACGCAUUAAGUGCCCCGCUGGGGAGUACGGCCGCAAGGUUAAA